UCAUGGUUCAGUCUGCUUUCCAACAGACACAGGGAGACUGAUUCACCUUUCAGCAGGACAAUAACCUAAAACACAAAGCCAAAUAGACACUGGAGGUACUCAUGAAGACUACAUUGAAUGUUCCUGAGAGGCCUAGUUACAGUUUGGAUUUAAAUCUGCUUGAAGAUCUAUGGCAAGACUUGAAAAUGUCUGUAUACCAAUGAUCAACAACCAACUUGACAGAGCUUGAAGUAUGUUUUUAAAGAAUAAUGGGCAAAUAUUGCACAAUUCAGGUGUGCAAAGCUCUUAGAGACUUAAAAAAAAGAUUCACAGCUCUCAUCCCUGCCAAAGGUGUUUUUUGUUGGAUUUUUUUUAUAUUACAGAAUAUUUUGUGUAGAUCGUUGACAUAAAAAUGGCAAUUAAAACCAUUUGAAACCCACUCUGUAACACAACAAAAUGUGUAAAAUGGGUGUGAAUACUUUCUGAAGGCACUGUAUGUUUUUCAUAUGGCACAACUUCGAGAAAAUAGGGGCCUAACCUUAUCAUGAAUUUAAAGCUGAAAAUGUAACAAUUUACAAAUGAACAUGUUUAAGAGAUCUAAACCUUAUAUCAACUAAAUAUCUUAAAUGACUGCUCCCAUUUAAAUGCUACUUUAUUAUGUGACAUGAAUUCAACAACUUGUUAAUUAAAAAGGAAUGAAGUGGUCGUCAUCUGUCCACUCCUAAUGAUGAUGAACUAUUUUAUAUUUUUAAAAUGUAACCUUUAUUUAACUAAGCAAGUCAGUUAAGAACAAAUUCUUAUUUUACAAUGACGGCCUACCCCGGCCAGACCCUCCCCUAACCUGGACAACGCUGGGACAAUUGUGCGCCGCCCUAUGGGACUCCCAAUCAUGGCUGGUUGUGAUACAGCCCAGGAUCGAACCAGGGUCUGUAGUGACACCUCUAGCACUGAGAUUCGCACUGCUGCGCCACUCAGGAAGUAUAUAAUUAGUAUUUACAGUAGUAUAGGAAACCGUCAUUACCACACACUUCAGCACAGUAGGUGGCGGCAUGCACCCUAAACGUUUGUUUGCGGAGCGCCAUUAUGCCACAGAAGGAGAAGAAGACGAAGAAGAACCCUACCCCCCCCCCCGUAUUUUUUAAAAUCUUUUUCUUGUAUGACACGAACCUAUCUAACGCUAGAUAGCUAGCAAGCAAGCAAGCAAGCAACCGCAAGUAGCAGAGUUGGAUGCAUUUAAGUUAGGCCUAAGAAUUAAACUGAUUAGGUCUGUCUGUUUUUAACACACUAACGUUAGGUUAACGUUAUAAACUGGCUAGCUAGCUAGCAUGUAUCAUUGACAGCUAGCGAACUAUCACUAGCAUCACUCUACAGUGUUACGUUAGUCUAUACAAUUAUGUUGAGUGACUCAGGAUUACAAAACCGUAUCACAGUCGUAUCCAACAAUGAGCAUUUUCCUGCAGGGGCUUCAAUGGAACAUGUCAGGGCUGUUAAGCGUGAGCUUUGUCUCAGAAUGGGGCUUCCACUAGUUACCACAGCCACAAAGUCAUAAUUACGACUACAGUUUACCUUAACCACAACGCUGACCUUAUGCCUAACCAUAAAUGAAGACCAAAAAGCACAUUUUUGUUUUCAGUCAGUAACAACCAUCUGAAUGGGCUAGUUAUCGUUUGCACUUUCCAUUCUGUAACCUUACCUAGCUAGCCGUCUGAGCUAUUGUUUAGGUAGCUUUGCCAUAUUUUAUCUUUUACUUUUCAACACUUUUAGGCAGCUAGCUACUAUAAAGGAAAGAGUGGACAAAGACGAGGAGGGGGACACCAAUACAUUCUACAGAAAUGGGUGCUGUUGUUUCCCGGUGGAAGGCUAAUCCAACGAUGGUAGAACUUCUACAAGGCAUUGUCAAGGAUAUUAAGGACCUAGAGGAAUGUAGAGCGAAAAAUCAGAGACUAGAGAAGUUGUGGGUGGGAAGACUACUUCUAUAUUCAUCUGUGCUCUAUCUUAUUACUUGCAUAAGUGUUUACUUCUGGUAUCUCCCCGAACAAUGGACAGGACGCAUCGUGAUGACUUUGCCCUUAUUUUUAUUUCCUAUAUUGUAAGUAUAGCCUACUCUGCCACACAUAACCUUAAAGGGGCAAUCUGGGAUUGAAACAAGAAUGAAGUGGAUAUUUAAAAAAAAAAAAAAAAAUGUUAUUUAACUGCUGAGGCAUGGGACUGGAGGAAUGUACCAA